ACCAAAUUUAUAGUGAAACUGCGAAUGGCUCAUUAAAUCAGUUAUAAUUUACUUGAUAAUUUUAUACCAGUGGAUAACCGUGGUAAUUCUAUGGCUAAUACAUACAUUAAAGGGCCUUACUAUGUAAGGCCUGUAGUUAUUAGAUAAAAAACCAAUGCAUGCAAAUGCUUUUUUGGUGAUUCAUAGUAAACUUACAGAUCGUUGUCUUCGACGACGUGUCAAUCAAAUUUCUGCCCUAUCAACUGUCGAUGGUAAGGUAGUGGCUUACCAUGGUUGCAACGGGUGACGGGGAAUAAGGGUUCUAUUCCGGAGAGGGAGCCUGAGAAACGGCUACCACAUCCAAGGAAGGCAGCAGGCGCGCAAAUUACCCAAUCCUAAUACAGGGAGGUAGUGACAAUAAAUAACAAUCCAGGGCCCUUAUGGGUCAUGGAAUUGGAAUGAAUACAAAUUAAAACUCUUAAUGAGGAACCAUUGGAGGGCAAGUCUGGUGCCAGCAGCCGCGGUAAUUCCAGCUCCAAUAGCGUAUAUUAAAGUUGUUGCAGUUAAAACGCCCGUAGUCGAAUUUUUGGGGGAAUGAGGAUUUGAAAGGGUUUUAGCCUUUGGUUAAUAAUCUUUUCUUUUUCUUGGUCCCUCAUUUUAUAUUCCUGGUCUUUGGGCUUAGUUGGUACUUUACUGUAUCGAUUAAGUCAUUUCCCUCGGGUGGGCCAGGAAUGAUUACUUUGAAAAAAUUAGAGUGUUCAAAGCGGGCUUUUUAAGCCGAAUACAUUAGCAUGGAAUAAUAAAAUAAGACUAUGGUUUUAUUUUGUUGGUUUAUAAAACUAAAGAAAUGAUGAAUAGGUCUGGUUGGGGAUAUUAGUAUUUAAUAGUCAGAGGUGAAAUUCUUGGAUUUAUGAAAGACUAACUUCUGCGAAAGCAUUUAUCAAGGACAGGCUCAUUGAUCAAGGACGAAAGUUGGGGGAUCGAAGAUGAUUAGAUACCGUCGUAGUCUCAACCAUAAACUAUGCCAACUAGGGAUUGGGGCUGUUUUUAACAGUCUCAGCACCUUGUGAGAAAUCAAAGUUUU
rnacentral:rRNA from 1 species